rnacentral:sRNA from 1 species
ACACUUGUUACACAAAAACCACAAAUCAUCAUACGAUUCAAGUGUUACACGAGACUACUACAUAAUAAUACAACAACACACGAUACAAGACCGUCUCUCUCUCUCUCACUUUCGUCUUUU